GGCCCUAUCGUCUAGUGGUUAGGACAGCAGGUUUUCAUCCUGUAAACAGGGGUUCGAUUCCCCUUAGGGCUA
rnacentral:tRNA from 2 species